AGCAGCCGCGGUAAUUCCAGCUCCAAUAGCGUAUAUUAAAGUUGUUGCAGUUAAAAAGCUCGUAGUUGAAUUUCGGAAUCUGUCCGUUGGUCGGGCUUAACUGUCCGUACUGAUGUGAUGGGUUCUUACCUUCUGAAUAACCAUCAUGCCAUUAAUUUGGUGUGUUGGGGAAGCAGGACUAUUACCUUGAAAAAAUUAGAGUGCUCAAAGCAGGCUAGUGCCUGAAUACAUUAGUAUGGAAUAAUAAAAUAGGACGGCAUGGUUCUAUUUUGUUGGUUUCUAGGAUCACCGUAAUGAUUAAUAGGGAUAGUUGGGGGCAUUAGUAUUCAAUUGUCAGAGGUGAAAUUCUUGGAUUUAUUGAAGACUAACUUCUGCGAAAGCAUUUGCCAAGGAUGUUUUCAUUAAUCAAGAACGAAAGUUAGGGGAUCGAAGACGAUCAGAUACCGUCGUAGUCUUAACCAUAAACUAUGCCGACUAGGGAUCGGACGAUGUUAAUUUAUAAUGACUCGUUCGGCGUACC
rnacentral:rRNA from 1 species